rnacentral:rRNA from 1 species
UACGUAGGUGGCAAGCGUUAUCCGGAUUUAUUGGGCGUAAAGGGAACGCAGGCGGUCUUUUAAGUCUGAUGUGAAAGCCUUCGGCUUAACCGGAGUAGUGCAUUGGAAACUGGGAGACUUGAGUGCAGAAGAGGAGAGUGGAACUCCAUAUGUAGCGGUGAAAUGCGUAGAUAUAUGGAAGAACACCAGUGGCGAAAGCGGCUCUCUGGUCUGUAACUGACGCUGAGGUUCGAAAGCGUGGGUAGCAAACAGG